rnacentral:tRNA from 1 species
GGCUUUAUAGUUUAAAUUGUAAAAUGUUAGGCUGCAAUCCUAAAGUUGCUUUCAGCUAAAGCUU